UACGGGGGGGGCAAGCGUUGUUCGGAAUUACUGGGCGUAAAGGGCUCGUAGGCGGCCAACUAAGUCAGACGUGAAAUCCCUCGGCUUAACCGGGGAACUGCGUCUGAUACUGGAUGGCUUGAGGUUGGGAGAGGGAUGCGGAAUUCCAGGUGUAGCGGUGAAAUGCGUAGAUAUCUGGAGGAACACCGGUGGCGAAGGCGGCAUCCUGGACCGGCAUUGACGCUGAGGAGCGAAAGCCAGGGGAGCAAACGGG
rnacentral:rRNA from 1 species